UACGUAGGGGGCUAGCGUUGUCCGGAUUUAUUGGGCGUAAAGAGCUCGUAGGCGGUUCGGUAAGUCGGGUGUGAAACCUCCAGGCUCAACCUGGAGACGCCACCCGAUACUGCUGUGACUAGAGUCCGGUAGGGGAGCGUGGAAUUCCUGGUGUAGCGGUGAAAUGCGCAGAUAUCAGGAGGAACACCAGCGGCGAAGGCGGCGCUCUGGGCCGGAACUGACGCUGAGGAGCGAAAGCGUGGGGAGCAAACAGG
rnacentral:rRNA from 1 species